CCUACGGGUGGCAGCAGUGAGGAAUAUUGGUCAAUGGCCGAGAGGCUGAACCAGCCAAGUCGCGUGAGGGAAGACGGCCCUACGGGUUGUAAACCUCUUUUGUCGGGGAGCAAAGCGAGUCACGUGUGACUCAUUGAGAGUACCCGAAGACAAAGCAUCGGCUAACUCCGUGCCAGCAGCCGCGGUAAUACGGAGGAUGCGAGCGUUAUCCGGAUUUAUGGGGUUUAAAGGGUGCGCAGGCGGAGGUGCAAGUCCGCGGGCAAAUUGCGGGGCUCAACCCCGUACUGCCGUUGAAACUGCAGAACUUGAGUGCGCGAGAAGUAUGAGGAAUGCGUGGGGUAGCGGUGAAAUGCAUAGAUAUCACGCAGAACUCCGAUGGCGAAGGCAGCAUACCGGCGCGCAACUGACGCUCAUGCACGAAAGCGUGGGUAUCGAACAGGAUUAGAUACCCGAGUAGUG
rnacentral:rRNA from 1 species